rnacentral:rRNA from 1 species
UACAGAGGUCCCAAGCGUUGUUCGGAUUCAUUGGGCGUAAAGGGUGCGUAGGCGGCGCGGUAAGUCGGGUGUGAAAUCUCGGAGCUUAACUCCGAAACUGCAUUCGAUACUGCCGUGCUUGAGGACUGGAGAGGAGACUGGAAUUUACGGUGUAGCGGUGAAAUGCGUAGAUAUCGUAAGGAAGACCAGUGGCGAAGGCGGGUCUCUGGACAGUUCCUGACGCUUAGGCACGAAGGCCAGGGGAGCAAACGGG